CUCUCCAAAAUCGCAAAAAAAAAAAAAAAAAAAAAAUUCAAAGGUCCGACCAUCGGACCUUUGUCUUCUUCCCUCUCUCAAAUCGCAGGAAAAAAAAAAAAAAAGUUUCAGAGAAAAUCGCAGGAAGUGGG